UCAACCGCAGCCAUAAAAUCCUCUCUUCUUUUUCUCUGAUCUCUCAGCGCCGCGCAACCUUGCUAGCUUUAUCUUGUACUUUGACACCAUCGUGUCCACGACCUCACCCUCUUCCUUUCCACCAAUUUUUGCCACCGUACAAAACCAUAGCAUCUGGUGCAGGCAUUUGACUAAUCGAAAAUGUGUUUGGUAUUGAAAGACAUUCAAGCAUGCUUGCAU